UACGGAGGAUGCAAGCGUUGUCCGGAUUCAUUGGGUUUAAAGGGUGCGUAGGCGGACUAUUAAGUCAGUGGUGAAAGCCUGCAGCUUAACUGCAGAACUGCCAUUGAUACUGAUAGUCUUGAGUUUGGUUAAGGUAGGCGGAAUGUGUAAUGUAGCGGUGAAAUGCUUAGAUAUUACACAGAACACCAAUUGCGUAGGCAGCUUACUGAGCCGACACUGACGCUGAGGCACGAAAGCGUGGGGAUCGAACA
rnacentral:rRNA from 1 species